UCAAAUUAGCAAAGUCAUGCAGUUGAAUUAGAAUCAACACAUAUAGGUGAAAAUCCUUUAUUUGAUA
rnacentral:tRNA from 1 species